AACUAAUGAAUGUCUGCCUUGAAAUUUAGGUUUUCUUUCGAAAUAGAUUGUUUGCUUUUAUUGCCUGUCUUUGUCUCAUUUGACAUUCUCUUGGUUGUCUAGGUUGGUUCCAUUGCUGUGUUUGUAACGAGAUAUAGAGGUAUGAUCGGAGAUGCCAAAGAAGAUCUGCAACAAAGCACAAGUUAUUUCCACAAACCCAGUAUGAUUCUAAGUUUUCGCUACUCUAUGUUUGAGAACCUAAAACCAUAUAAGUAACUAUCAAAAAACCCGUCUCAUACAUACCACAUGCAGUUCCUAGAGUUUGAUGCAGCAGUUUACUGGUCUGUAGGUCCUGCAUGGAAGUAUGAAUCUAUGGCCAGCAAUGGCCAAA
rnacentral:lncRNA from 1 species